rnacentral:rRNA from 1 species
UACGUAGGGUGCAAGCGUUGUCCGGAAUUAUUGGGCGUAAAGAGCUCGUAGGCGGUUUGUCGCGUCUGCUGUGAAAACUCGGGGCUUAACCCCGGGCCUGCAGUGGGUACGGGCAAACUAGAGUGCGGUAGGGGAGACUGGAAUUCCUGGUGUAGCGGUGAAAUGCGCAGAUAUCAGGAGGAACACCGGUGGCGAAGGCGGGUCUCUGGGCCGUAACUGACGCUGAGGAGCGAAAGCAUGGGGAGCGAACAGG